AUUGAACGCUGGCGGCAGGCCUAACACAUGCAAGUCGAACGAGUGGCGGACGGGUGAGUAAUGUCUGGGAAACUGCCCGAUGGAGGGGGAUAACUACUGGAAAAGGUAGCUAAUACCGCAUACCAUCGGUUGUGCGCAGAUGGGAUUAGCUAGUAGGUGGGGGAACGGCUCACCUAGGCGACGAUCCCUAGCUGGUCUGAGAGGAUGACCAGCCACACGGGAACUGAGACACGGUACAGACUCCUACGGGCGGCAGCAGGGGGGAAUAUGGCAAAAUGGGCGCAAGCCUGAUGCAGCCAUGCCGCGUGUAUGAAGAAGGCCUUCGGGUUGGAAAGUACUUUCAGCGGGGAGGCGUUACCCGCAGAAGAAGCACCGGCUAACUCCGUGCCAGCAGCCGCGGUAAUA
rnacentral:rRNA from 1 species